ACAGGCUGCCGUCAGAUUCUCAAGCCCCUAUUCCUCUCGGUGGCCUAAAUCCCCAACUGCUCGGGGCCACUUUUCAGGCCAAAAUGGGCCCAAAAUGGGGAGGGCAAGUGAUGAAUGUCACUAGACAGUGGGGCCCUCAAGGACCUGGCAAAUGGGGGCUUGGACCUCGGAUCGGCCUCCCACGCGAAGCUUGCUCCCCACCAGCAUCCCCACGUUGGUGGCGACGCUGCCCCGGCCCCACGGAUACUUCCGCGCCUGUCAGACUCCCUGAUGAACUACCCUUCCCAGAGUACCGCGGGAGCUCGGGCUCCUGAGGGCGACGGUCCUCUGAUGGCAGAUGCGGGAGAAACUCUGGCGUCAGGCGGCCCUCGCGUGGAGCACACGAAGUCGUGGCUUAUUCUGGCUUCAGUAUGUGGGGUGGAGAAGGCGAUCCACGCAGCUGCGUCUAUUUCCUGUGGAUCAAUCGCAAAAUACGUUCUGUAAGCCCCGCCCCCACUGCGUGCGGGCGGCUUUUGUCUCCACGGCAACCGUCAACUCUGGAAACGCCUGUCUUUCUCCAUGGCAACUGUCUACGCCGCAGGCUGGAGCUGCCCAUUACCGGAGCCCAUAUGGCAAUGACCCUUGGCCAGUCUCUGGGAACUAAACUCCUGGGAUGUUUACACAGGUGCUGGGUAAGAUGUUCUUCCAUAUGCUCAAGACCACGGGUCAAGAUGUACUAGGCUGUCAGCAUUGUUGACUGUAAAUAUGAAGAUGCAUGAUGGGCACCUGGUACCUGGAUUGGAGUUCUCACUCUGUUCAUGUAGCAGAUGAAAAAAAUCAAAGCACAGAGAGGCUAAGUGACUUGCCCAAGGCCACACAGCCAGGAAGCAAUCAGCUGGGAUUUGAACCCACACAACCCGACUCCCGAGCCCACGAUGAUCACCCGUGUGUUCCACUGCCUCACCCCUGAGUGAACCUCACUGACCAUGAGAGAUGGGGUAGGAAGAGGGCUCACACCUGCUGGAUAUCCUCACCCACCUGGGCAGGUAACUCGCCGGGCCUCUCUCUCCUGCCUCAGCUCUUCCCCUCGAUCCACACGGGAGAUCACGUCGGAUUUGGACCCAGGCAGCCCUGCCCCUGGGGAAAGAUACAAGAGUUGGCUGUGGGUGCCAGAAUCACAGGGAGGUCUACAGGGAAGGUGCACGCACUGAGCGCCUAAUGAUUGGACGUACAAAUGGCCAACGCCAAGACUUAUUUGUUGUGUGCUUAGCACACUGCAGAGAGGCUGAGCCAACUUAUUUGUUGAGUGCUUAGGACACUGCAGAGAGGCUGAGCUCUGACAAAGCUGUUUAAGGCUCCGCGUCUGUGCUGUUCGAGUUAACUGCACUGUGACAGUAUAAGAAACAUCGUCUUCUGUGUUUCGAAGACUUACUAAAGAAAAAAACAGUAAAAUCUCUCAAUCAUUUGUUAAUUGAUUAUUAUUUCAGUGUGUCAAGAUGAUAAGAUUUUAGAUAGCUUGAGGUGAAUAAAAUGUAUUAUUAAAAUUAAAAAAAAAAAAAAAAA
rnacentral:lncRNA from 1 species